rfam:Helobdella robusta unplaced genomic scaffold HELROscaffold_2, whole genome shotgun sequence.
GGCCCGUUAGCUCAGUUGGUUAGAGCGUCGUGCUAAUAACGCGAAGGUCGUGGGUUCGACCCCCAUACGGGCCA